UGCAACUUGUUGAAGAAACAACAAGUCGUCAGUCCGGUCCUCUUCAUAACCAUGCAAAUCUAAUGCACUUUCAGUCUCUUCCAUUAUAUGAUGCUUCCUUUUUCGCCCGCAGCGAGCCACUGAUUAACUUCGGUGCAAGUGCAACAGGUAUGAAGCAAAGUUCAACCGGUAAUAUGUUACGCAUUAAUUGUGAAGCAAAGUUCAAACGGUAAUGACGAAGUAGACGAAGAUGACAUGACAGUCACUUGACCGGUCAAAUAAGUACCAUGUAAGUUGCCAUGUCAGUAUUUUAGAUUAUAAAUUUAGUUAAAUAAGUAAAAUUUAAAAAAAAUCUUUGCCGAUUCUUAGGUGGAGAUGCUGAAUUUUUGUUAUUAAUUUUUUAAAAAAAAAUUGUCACAUCACAUUACACAUCAACAUUUGUGUUUAAAAUUCCGUUAACUUGGAUGAGGAAUUGAAAUGGUGCUUCGUUAAAAGGCAGAUUUAAAAUUAAAAAUAGUUUAAAUUAAAUUUGACAAUUCGCUUUAAGUUUGGACUAGAUUUGGGUAUUUGGCCAUACUUUUUUAACACGUUUUAUACAUCAUUAGCUGCCCUUGCUCGUCAUGUAGACAUAAGCCUAGUCCCAUCUCUCCGUUGGUCGCAAACGUCGUCGCAUCCACGUUACACUUUAACACAUCAGCUUCAUGUGGAUGCCACCUACCACCUAUGACACAUAGCAUGCCGAUCAUUCGCCCUGUCGUCAUCCAUACGGAACAGAUAGAAGGUACCCGCAUUAUCCCUAAAAUACC
rnacentral:lncRNA from 1 species